rnacentral:rRNA from 1 species
CGGGACGGGUGAGUAAUGUAUGGGGAUCUGCCUGAUGGCGGGGGGUAACUACUGGUAACGGUAGCUAAUACCGCAUAAUGUCUACGGACCAAAGCGGGGGACCUCCGGGCCUCGCGCCAUCAGAUGAACCCAUAUGGGAUUAGCUAGUAGGUAAGGUAACGGCUUACCUAGGCGACGAUCCCUAGCUGGUCUGAGAGGAUGAUCAGCCACACUGGGACUGAGACACGGCCCAG